rnacentral:rRNA from 1 species
AUGAGUUCCUGCCUUUCCCAUAUAAUUAGAUAUCAUUCCCUUGACUUUAUUUGCUUGCAAGAGACCCAUAAGAAGAAGUUUCAGUACAAUUUUUUUAGGAAAAUUGACCCUUACACUGCUUUUGAGUGGGAUUGGUUUCCCUCAGUAGGGAAAUCUAGAGGAAUCCUAUGUGGGGUCAGAAAAGAGAGGUUUGAAGUUGUUGCAUGGAAGAAAGGCCGGUUUAUCCUCCAGGUUGUUGUAUAUGACAUCAAGAUUAAAAAGAUUUGGACUCUUUGUACUGUAUAUGGGGCCGCUCAUGAUAGUGACAAACAAGAUUUUCUUAUAGAAUUAGCUGACUUUUGCAUUCAUGUGCAAACUCCUCUUUUAAUAGGAGGUGAUUUUAAUAUUCUAAGACACGAGGGAGAGAAGAAUAAAAAUUGGCAUCGUUCCCCUUAA